rnacentral:rRNA from 1 species
AUUGGGACUGAGAUACGGCCCAGACUCCUACGGGAGGCAGCAGUGGGGAAUAUUGCACAAUGGGCGCAAGCCUGAUGCAGCGACGCCGCGUGCGGGAUGACGGCCUUCGGGUUGUAAACCGCUUUUGACUGGGAGCAAGCCCUUCGGGGUGAGUGUACCUUUCGAAUAAGCACCGGCUAACUACGUGCCAGCAGCCGCGGUAAUACGUAGGGUGCAAGCGUUAUCCGGAAUUAUUGGGCGUAAAGGGCUCGUAGGCGGUUCGUCGCGUCCGGUGUGAAAGUCCAUCGCUUAACGGUGGAUCCGCGCCGGGUACGGGCGGGCUUGAGUGCGGUAGGGGAGACUGGAAUUCCCGGUGUAACGGUGGAAUGUGUAGAUAUCGGGAAGAACACCAAUGGCGAAGGCAGGUCUCUGGGCCGUUACUGACGCUGAGGAGCGAAAGCGUGGGGAGCGAACAGGAUUAGAUACCCUGGUAGUCCACGCCGUAAACGAUGAGUGCUAGGUGUUGGAUCCUUUCCGGGAUUCAGUGCCGCAGCUAACGCAUUAAGCACUCCGCCUGGGGAGUACGACCGCAAGGUUGAAACUCAAAGGAAUUGACGGGGGCCCGCACAAGCGGUGGAGCAUGUGGUUUAAUUCGAAGCAACGCGAAGAACCUUACCAGGUCUUGACAUCCCGAUGCUAUUUCUAGAGAUAGAAAGUUACUUCGGUACAUCGGUGACAGGUGGUGCAUGGUUGUCGUCAGCUCGUGUCGUGAGAUGUUGGGUUAAGUCCCGCAACGAGCGCAACCCUCGCCCUGUGUUGCCAGCACGUCGUGGUGGGAACUCACGGGGGACCGCCGGGGUCAACUCGGAGGAAGGUGGGGAUGACGUCAGAUCAUCAUGCCCCUUACGUCCAGGGCUUCACGCAUGCUACAAUGGCCGGUACAACGGGAUGCGACACUGUGAGGUGGAGCGGAUCCCUUAAAACCGGUCUCAGUUCGGAUUGGAGUCUGCAACCCGACUCCAUGAAGGCGGAGUCGCUAGUAAUCGCGGAUCAGCAACGCCGCGGUGAAUGCGUUCCCGGGCCUUGUACACACCGCCCGUCAAGUCAUGAAAGUGGGCAGCACCCGAAGCCGGUGGCCUAACCCCUUGUGGGAUGGAGCCGUCUAAGGUGAGGCUCGUGAUUGGGACUAAGUCGUAACAAGGUAGCCGUACCGGAAGGUGCGGCUG